CGGGCAACAGCUGAUCAUGUAUUGUAUUGUACAGGCAAUGGUUAAAGUCACUGAACUGUCAAGUCAGGUACGAUCCAAAGAUGAUGAAAUAUCAAAGAAAGAGACACAGAUCCUUUCCCAUUGUUUCCUGGAGAGAGAUUACCUGAGAGUGGCAGUGCAACUGAUUACUCUCGUGCUAUUAAGCAUCUUCCAACCAUAAAAGCAGAUCAUGGCAUACACUUGAGUGCUCUGGUUGAUAUGGAGGAGACUGAUACUGCUCCAGCUCGUAAGGCAGGGGAUGAGUGGCAGCUGAGAGGACCACUGACCUAUUUACCCAAACCAGAAGAGGUGAGAAGUUUGAGAGAGGGAUACAAGAUGCUAUUAUAUUAGAAUCUGAUGAAGCUCUUCUUGUCACUGCUCAAGAGGAAUUUGACGAUGUUACUGAAGAUGGUAGUAAAGUCCAUCGUACCCCUGGUGAUAGGUGGAUGAUUCAUGGACCAACUGACCAUAGGGGUAGGAACAGGGGGGGCAG